GUUAGGUUUAAAGUCAAAUCAAAUUUUAAGAAGAGAAAUUGUAGGAAUAGUUUAUGACUUUGUGGCUGUGGUAACAAGUGACGACCUAGAUUGAGUUUGACCCCAGUUACUGCCCUGACGACACAGACGGCUUCAUCGGCAACGACCUUCCCAGUUUACAGCACCUCAAAAGAUGAGGGAAUACAUUGUUUAGGAGGAUUGCCUGCUGCAGUUGUUCGAGAGAUGUCCAGUUUGCAGCCGAAAACAUUCAACAUAGACAAGACCAGCAAGAGGACCAUCAGCAUCACGCAGGCAUGCCCUUGCUGUCAGCAUUCCUAUAAAUGGAACAGGGAGGACACUUGAAUCAAGUUGGUGACAUUUGACCUGGUCAAAGGUCAAAACAGUUUUGUCCCAAUUCACCUUCAUAACCUAUAGCCUGGUGGAACCAGUCUGAUCGCUGCAUUUGCCAUUCUAUUUCACUUCAUGAUAUCUGAACCGUGAAUGAGCUGAUCUACGCUACCAUGAUUGGGUGCUGACAAAGACCUCACCUCCUGUCUCACCUCCAGUCUCACCUCCAGUCUCACCUCCAGUCUCACCUCCUGUCUCACCUCCAGUCUCACCUCCUGUCCCACCUCCUGCUUGCUCGACCAGCAGUCGGCGAUGGGGAGACCAGAAUUAGAAACAUGUAUGGAGCCAGAACAUGGAGACUUGAUGUGAUGCAGUUCAGACUGGCUUGAUACUGAUGUCUCUGAAUGGAGAAAGACCUGGCACUCGGCAUAAACAUUUUACUA